CAUGCAAGUCGAACGAACCUUCGGGUUAGUGGCGGACGGGUGAGUAACGCGUGAGAAUCUGCCCUCAGGAGGGGGAUAACAGUUGGAAACGACUGCUAAUACCCCAUAUGCCGAGAGGUGAAAUGAAUUUCGCCUGGGGAUGAGCUCGCGUCUGAUUAGCUUGUUGGUGGGGUAAUAGCCUACCAAGGCUUCGAUCAGUAGCUGGUCUGAGAGGACGAUCAGCCACACUGGGACUGAGACACGGCCCAGACUCCUACGGGAGGCAGCAGUGGGGAAUUUUCCGCAAUGGGCGAAAGCCUGACGGAGCAACGCCGCGUGAGGGAUGGAGGCCUUUGGGCUGUAAACCUCUUUUCUCAAGGAAGAAGAUCUGACGGUACUUGAGGAAUAAGCCACGGCUAAUUCCGUGCCAGCAGCCGCGGUAAUACGGGAGUGGCAAGCGUUAUCCGGAAUUAUUGGCCGUAAAGCGUCCGCAGGCGGCCGUUUAAGUCUGUUGUUAAAUCGUGGAGCUCAACUCCAUCACGGCAAUGGAAACUGUUCGGCUUGAGUAUGGUAGGGGCAGAGGGAAUUUCCGGUGUAGCGGUGAAAUGCGUAGAUAUCGGGAAGAACACCAGUGGCGAAAGCGCUCUGCUGGGCCAUUACUGACG
rnacentral:rRNA from 1 species